rnacentral:rRNA from 1 species
GACGAACGCUGGCGGCGUGCUUAACACAUGCAAGUCGAACGGUAAGGCCCUUCGGGGUACACGAGUGGCGAACGGGUGAGUAACACGUGGGUGAUCUGCCCUGCACUUCGGGAUAAGCCUGGGAAACUGGGUCCAAUACCGGAUAGGACCACUGCCUGCAUGGGUGGUGGUGGACAGCUUUUGCGGUGUGGGAUGGGCCCGCGGCCUAUCAGCUUGUUGGUGGGGUGAUGGCCUACCAAGGCGACGACGGGUAGCCGGCCUGAGAGGGUGACCGGCCACACUGGGACUGAGAUACGGCCCAGACUCCUACGGGAGGCAGCAGUGGGGAAUAUUGCACAAUGGGCGCAAGCCUGAUGCAGCGACGCCGCGUGAGGGAUGACGGCCUUCGGGUUGUAAACCUCUUUCAGCACCGACGAAGCGCAAGUGACGGUAGGUGCAGAAGAAGGACCGGCCAACUACGUGCCAGCAGCCGCAGUAA